CACAUACACUCUCCAGAUGCUUUCCUCUUGUGAACAGCCUUAUUCCUCAAUUAGGUUAGAUUAGAAUUUAGCACUGGGUAUUCAGUGCAUAGACUUUGCACUUCAGGUCUACACA